rnacentral:ncRNA from 1 species
AAGCGGUGGAGUUGGAGCUGGUGUUGGUUCAAAGGACUCAUCUAGUGAUGGAGUUGGACCAUGGGCAGGCAAGAGACAACCUGGUGAACUGAAACAUCUUAGUAGCCAGAGGAAUAGAAGGAAAAAGUGAUUCCCGUAGUAGCGGCGAGCAAAAUGGGAGCAGCCUAAAUCGUGAAAAUAGGGUUGUGGGAGAGCACAAUAUAAGCUCUGUGCUACUAGGCAAAGCGGUUGAGUCCUGCACCCUAGAUGGUGAGAGUCCAGUAGCCAAAAGCAUAAUUGGCUUACACUCUAACCUGAGUAGCAUGGGGCACGUGGAAUCUCGUGUGAAUCAGCAAGGACCACCUUGCAAGGCUAAAUACUCCUGGGUGACCAAUAGCGAAGUAGUACCGUGAGGGAAAGGUGAAAAGAACCCCCAUCGUGGACUGAAAUAGAACAUGAAACCCUAAGCUCCCAAGCAGUGGGAGGAAAAUGAUAUCUCUGACCGCAUGCAUGUUAAAGAAUGAGUUGGCGACUUAUAGGCAGUGGCUUGGUUAAGGGAACCCACCGGAGCUGUAGCGAGAGCGAGUCUUCAUGGAGAAAUUUUCACUGCUUAUGGAUCCAAACCUGGGUGAUCUAUCCAUGACCAGGAUGAAUCUUGGGUGAAACUAAGUGGAGGUCCGAACUGACUGAUGUUGAAAAAUCAGCGGAUGAGUCGUGGUUAGGGGUGAAAUGCCACUCAAACCCAGAGCAACAGUUGACUGAACCAUAUAGGGGUAAAGCACUGUUUCGGUACGGGCCACGAGAGCGGUACCAAAUCAAGGCAAACUCUUAAUACUAGAUUGCCCCAAUAAAAGGGGUAAAGGUCAUCCAGUGAGACGAUGGGGGAUAAGCUUCAUCAUAGAAAGGGGAAUAGCCCAGAUCAUCAGCUAAGGCCCCUAAAUGACCACUCAGUGAUGAAGGAAGUACGAGUGCAAAGAUAACCAAGAGGUUUGCCUAGAAGCAGCCAACAUUGAAAGAGUGUGUAAUAGCUCACUGAUCGAGCACUCUUACGCCGAAGAUGAACAGGACUAAGCGAUCUGUCGAAGUUGUGGUAUGUAAAAAUACAUCGGUAGCGGAGCGUUCUGCCUCAGAGGGAAGCACUAGCAUGAGCAGGUGUGGAUGAAGCGGAAGUGAGAAUGUCGGCUUGAGUAACGCAAACAUUGGUGAGAAUCUAAUGCCCCGAAAACCUAAGGGUUCCUCCAUAAGGUUCGUCCACGGAGGGUGAGUCAGGGCCUAAGAUUAGGACGAAAGGUGUAGUCGAUGGACAACAUGUUAAUAUUCUUGUACUACCCCUUACUGGUCCCAAGGGACGGAGGAGGAUAGGUUAGCCAAAAUAUGGUUAUCGGUUCAAGGACACAAGGUGACCCUACUUUUUUCAAGCUAAGAAGGGGUAAAGAAAAUGCCGCUAGCCAAUGUCUGAGUACCAAGCGCUACAGUGUUGAAGUAACCCAUGCCAUACUCCUAGGAAAAGCUCAAACGACCUUUAACAAACGGGUACCUAUACCCGAAACCGACACAGGUAGGUAGGUAGAGAAUACCUAGGGGCACGAGACAACUCUCUGUAAGGAACUCAGAAAAAUAGCCCCAUAACUUCAGGAGAAGGGGUGCCUCCUUAGGAGGUCGCAGUGACCAGGCCCAGGCGACUGUUUACCAAAAACACAGAUCUCCACAAAGUCGUAAGACCAUGUAUGGGGGAUGACGCCUGCCCAGUGCUAGAAGGUUAAGGAAGUCACUGACUUGAUGAUGGGGGGCCAGCAACCAAAGCCCCAGUGAACGACGGUCAUAACUAUAACGGUCCUAUUAUCCCCGCUAUCUAGGGAUAACU